rnacentral:rRNA from 1 species
GAUGAACGCUGGCGGCGUGCCUAAUACAUGCCAGUCGAGCGAACAGACGAGGAGCUUGCUCCUCUGACGUUAGCGGCGGACGGGUGAGUAACACGUGGAUAACCUACCUAUAAGACUGGGAUAACUUCGGGAAACCGGAGCUAAUACCGGAUAAUAUAUUGAACCGCAUGGUUCAAUAGUGAAAGACGGUUUUGCUGUCACUUAUAGAUGGAUCCGCGCCGCAUUAGCUAGUUGGUAAGGUAACGGCUUACCAAGGCAACGAUGCGUAGCCGACCUGAUAGGGUGAUCGGCCACACUGGAACUGAGACACGGUCCAGACUCCUACGGGAGGCAGCAGUAGGGAAUCUUCCGCAAUGGGCGAAAGCCUGACGGAGCAACGCCGCGUGAGUGAUGAAGGUCUUCGGAUCGUAAAACUCUGUUAUUAGGGAAGAACAAAUGUGUAAGUAACUAUGCACGUCUUGACGGUACCUAAUCAGAAAGCCACGGCUAACUACGUG